AGAACUUAGCAGAGAUGCUUUGGUGCCUUCGGGAACUCUGAGACAGGUGCUGCAUGGCUGUCGUCAGCUCGUGUUGUGAAAUGUUGGGUUAAGUCCCGCAACGAGCGCAACCCUUAUCCUUUGUUGCCAGCGGUUAGGCCGGGAACUCAAAGGAGACUGCCAGUGAUAAACUGGAGGAAGGUGGGGAUGACGUCAAGUCAUCAUGGCCCUUACGAGUAGGGCUACACACGUGCUACAAUGGCGCAUACAAGAGAAGCGACCUCGCGAGAGCAAGCGGACCUCAUAAAGUGCGUCGUAGUCCGGAUUGGAGUCUGCAACUCGACUCCAUGAAGUCGGAAUCGCUAGUAAUCGUGGAUCAGAAUGCCACGGUGAAUACGUUCCCGGGCCUUGUACACACCGCCCGUCACACCAUGGGAGUGGGUUGCAAAAGAAGUAGGUAGCUUAACCUUCGGGAGGGCGCUUACCACUUUGUGAUUCAUGACUGGGGUGAAGUCGUAACAAGGUAAGCGUAGUGCU
rnacentral:rRNA from 1 species